rnacentral:misc_RNA from 1 species
UUUCCGUAGGUGAACCUGCGGAAGGAUCAUUACAGUUAUAGUCAACCGGCCGCUCCGGGCUGACGUGUUCUCUACCACCCUUUGUUUAUUACACCUUUGUUGCUUUGGCAGGCCUGCCCUCGGGCUGCUGGCUCCGGCCGACUGGCGCCUGCCAGGGGCCUUAAGCUCUGUUUGUAUAUGCAGGCUGAGUACUCUAUAAUAGUUAAAACUUUCAACAACGGAUCUCUUGGUUCUG